rnacentral:tRNA from 1 species
GGCAGUGUAGUCCAGUGCACAGGGCAACUAGCUGGGAAUCAGGAGACCUAGCUUCUAUUCCUGGCUCUGCUA